GAGCCAUUAGCUCAGUUGGUAGAGCAUCUGACUUUUAAUCAGAGAGUCAGAGGUUCGAAUCCUCUAUGGCUCACCA
rnacentral:tRNA from 1 species